rnacentral:rRNA from 1 species
GACGAACGCUGGCGGCGUGCUUAACACAUGCAAGUCGAACGAUGAACCCGGAGCUUGCUCCGGUGGAUUAGUGGCGAACGGGUGAGUAACACGUGAGUAACCUGCCCUUGACUCUGGGAUAACUGCGGGAAACUGUAGCUAAUACCGGAUACGACCCUCGGCGGCAUCGCCAGGGGGUGGAAAGAAUUUCGGUCAAGGAUGGACUCGCGGCGUAUCAGCUAGUUGGUGAGGGAACGGCCCACCAAGGCGACGACGGGUAGCCGGCCUGAGUGGGUGAGCGGGCACGCUGGGCCUGGGAGACAGCCCAGACUCCUACGGGAGGCAGCGGUGGGGAAUAUUACACAAUGGGCGCAAGCCUGAGGCAGCAACGCCGCGUGAGGGAUGACGGCCUUCGGGUUGUAAACCUCUUUUAGUAGGGAAGAAGCGAAAGUGACGGUACCUGCAGAAAAAGCACCGGCUAACUACGUGCCAGCAGCCGCCGUAA